GCAGUGUCGGUAAGGGUUCUGAUUCAUUAUGCCCUACCAGGGCACUUAAGAACAAGCACAGGGGCUCAUCAUCUGUGUGCUGAGCACAGGACACUGCU